rnacentral:rRNA from 1 species
UACGGAGGAUCCAAGCGUUAUCCGGAUUUAUUGGGUUUAAAGGGUGCGUAGGCGGUCUAUUAAGUCAGCGGUGAAAUACUCCAGCUUAACUGGAGGGGUGCCAUUGAUACUGAUGGACUUGAGUCAAGUCGAGGUAGGCGGAAUUGACGGUGUAGCGGUGAAAUGCUUAGAUAUCGUCAAGAACACCAAUAGUGAAGACAGCUUACUGGGCUUAAACUGACGCUGAGGCACGAAAGUGUGGGGAGUCAAACAGG